UAACCGGAUUUCCCUGUUUGUGAGGCCCAGCCUUCAAAGCCAGGGUCCCUUCUUGCUCAGCUGUAGGCUGAGCCGGGGGUGCGAGGGGGCCUGGAUGCUGGGAGUAGGCACAAGUGGGCUGUGACAGACGGGGACGGAGCUCAGAGCAGCCGCCUGAGCCACCUGGGUCCACACAGGCAGCCAGGGGCAGAGCCAGGACCCGACCUCAGGAGCUGCCUGGAGAUGCUGCUACUGCU